rnacentral:rRNA from 1 species
UACGUAGGUGACAAGCGUUGUCCGGAUUUACUGGGCGUAAAGAGCGCGCAGGCGGUCGUUCAAGUCGAGUGUGAAAGCCCCCGGCUCAACUGGGGAGGGUCAUUCGAUACUGAUCGACUCGAAGGCAGGAGAGGGUAGUGGAAUUCCCGGUGUAGUGGUGAAAUGUGUAGAGAUCGGGAGGAACACCGGUGGCGAAGGCGGGUCUCUGGGCAAUUCCUGACGCUGAGGCGCGAAAGCGUGGGGAGCAAACAGG